UACGGGGGGAGCAAGCGUUGUUCGGAUUUACUGGGCGUAAAGGGUGCGUAGGCGGCGCGGUAAGUCGGGUGUGAAAUCUCGGGGCUUAACUCCGAAACUGCAUUCGAUACUGCCGUGCUUGAGGACUGGAGAGGAGACUGGAAUUUACGGUGUAGCGGUGAAAUGCGUAGAUAUCGUAAGGAAGACCAGUGGCGAAGGCGGGUCUCUGGACAGUUCCUGACGCUGAGGCACGAAGGUCAGGGGG
rnacentral:rRNA from 1 species